CUCUGAUGCAAUGCAAAGGUCAGAGGGCAAGACACACAUUGUAUGCAAACAGGAAAAUAAUUUCUUCUGGGAUCUGCUAAUAUACGGACAAAGGAGAGAAGCAUGUCAUCUGCUGUACAAGCCAAGGCAAACCCAGCUUCGUUCCAUGCAUCAGAGGGUUGAAUCAGAAAGAAAAGGAUUAAAGUUGCUCAAGGAGAGAGAAAAAGAAAGAACAAACUGCCUGAAAUCCAGCACUAUUCAUGUAUGCAGCAUGGAUUGUUUUAAAAUGCUGUUUUUCUUCAAACAUCACUUUCAUAAGGCCAAUUCUAAAUGGAUUGAGAUGACACUAAGAGGUUUGGCAUCAGGCCUUUACUUCUUCCAGAUGCAUCCUGAGUGAGAAAUCCUUGUCUUGCUUGAUCGUGGUUAAGAAGAGUUUCUUAUCAGAUAACAACCCGAUGCGUAAUGCAAAUAUGAUCACCAGCUCCUGUUCAGGGAUCAGCACUAGCCGUAUGUCCUGCCUCCUGCUGUAUCAUCUCCUAUUAAUCACAUUACUGAUGCUUACACUGGCAACAGACAAAAUCUGGAGAUGGAGUUAAGCCCUAUAAGCCCCAUAUGCAGUUAAACUUUCCCACUGGCUGAUGAGCAGUGGAGGACAAAAGCAGGCUGGGUGAGUAGUUCUUUAUUUCCUGGACUGAAGUCUGGCAAUGCUUCCCAGACGUGCCCAGUUCCCAGCAACGCGCAGCUGGAUCCCACUUGACAAAUGCCCAGCAUGAAGCAGCACUGCCUGCAGCUCAGCCAUGAGACCCUCAUCACCGCACGCCAUGCGCUGGAGUUAACGCCUGCUCUUUAGGCUUGCCUUUGGGCCACAAAAGGAGGAACCCUAAGGAAAUACUCCUUUUCUUCUUCAUCUCCCACAUCAAGCGUUACGAAGAGAAGUGCUGUAUAUUCCAUGGGAAAGACUCGGUUUUGAGAGACCAUUAGUAUUAAGAAUAUCAUCGGCUAAGUAACAUCUUUGUUCUCAUUCUUUCUUUUAUUUAGGCACAAAAUUACAAACAAUAGGUAAGUGGAGCCAGGUGAACUCCUCAGGAUGGUGUUUUGUGUUGUGAAAAGCGUUUUGUGAAUCACAUAUGAAACCUAGGAAACAGCUUGAGCCAAAGACAAAGACAGCAAUUCUGAGAAGUUGCUGUCAAUGCACUCUGGUGAUUUCAAAGUGAAACAGUUCAACUUUUCAGUUUGAAACAACAUUUGUUUUUAUUUUGAGGUUUUCCUGCCUGCAAUAAAUGAAAAGGGGUGAAAAGUUUAAACACAAAAAUGACGUGUUUUGUUUCAGGUCGAACCAAAUACAUUGCUCAGUCCAAAAUGGAAUUUUGGAGUUUUAUUGUUUUACCAAGAAAAUACAGUUUCAUUUCCUGUCAACCCAAAUUAAACAUUUUUCGUAAUUGUA
ensembl:lncRNA